rnacentral:ncRNA from 14 species
CCAACGGCCCUCUUUAGGGCCACAUAUUCUGAAAAUCCGUUAUUU